CCUACGGGUGGCAGCAGUGGGGAAUAUUGGACAAUGGGCGAAAGCCUGAUCCAGCCAUGCCGCGUGUGUGAAGAAGGCCUUCGGGUUGUAAAGCACUUUCAGUGGGGAAGAAAGCCUUGGGGCUAAUACCCUCGAGGAAGGACAUCACCCACAGAAGAAGCACCGGCUAACUCCGUGCCAGCAGCCGCGGUAAUACGGAGGGUGCGAGCGUUAAUCGGAAUUACUGGGCGUAAAGCGCGCGUAGGCGGUCUGAUAAGCCGGUUGUGAAAGCCCCGGGCUCAACCUGGGAACGGCAUCCGGAACUGUCAGGCUAGAGUGCAGGAGAGGAAGGUAGAAUUCCCGGUGUAGCGGUGAAAUGCGUAGAGAUCGGGAGGAAUACCAGUGGCGAAGGCGGCCUUCUGGACUGACACUGACGCUGAGGUGCGAAAGCGUGGGUAGCAAACAGGAUUAGAUACCCUGGUAGU
rnacentral:rRNA from 1 species